AGGCGGAUGAUAAUGAUUGAAGAGAAGGGGAGCUGCUGUUGACUAUUGAGGCACUCCAGGAAACAGUGGAAGAAGGUCUGACAAGGUGCUCUUGAAAGAAACCCUUUGAAAAUGAUGAAGGAGGAGGAGUGUGGAGAAGACAAAGCGUCAAAACGGCAGAGUUUGAGUUGAGCCAUUAAAAGUCAAAGAAAGUGUUUGUGUGUUUUGAGGGCAUGGAGAAAAGGAUGGACACCAGUAGAUGUCAUUGGACUGGAGAUGGAGGUGAAUGCCCCCAGAGGAAAUGGUGGAUCAUAGGGGCUCAAGCUGCAAAAUGGAGGACUCAUCAGGAAGAAAAGAAUGUCAAUAAGAUGUCCAAGCAGCACAUUUGCAGGCGAUUGUGCUACUUCCAGUGUGGUUUAAGUCUCUUGGCCUUUGGACAAAUGCCUCAUCAUAACACCACCCGAGGUGUGCUAUAAUUGCCAAGAAAUGCUCUACCUGUCAUGUCUUAUUGCUUAAAUAUUUAUGCUUAUGACAUUUGAUUCCUACACUCUAUAUGUCAUCAGCAUGUUUCACUCGCACUAGAUAUGUCAUCACCCACCAGGAACAGCUGACACUGAGGAUUAGAGCACUUUCAAAUUAAAAAUCCCUAAACAAAGAAAUGACAUGUUAGCAAUUGUCUAGCAUAGUAUAAAUCACAUAUAUGAUUAUCUGAAUUAAUAGAUUUAUUACAUUAAGAUGACCCAGUCAUUUAAUUCAAUGAGUGCUGUGCCUUGCUUUAGUGUGGUUAAAUGGAAUAAUAAUAAUUCUCUUAUUUCCUCUAUAUAUCAUUCCACGGAGUUGGUAGGGAGCAAUGCAUGUAUGGUCCCAGGGCAGAAGUUGUGUCCCAUUUCUAGAGGUCUACAGUAAUAGUCCUUAUACAAUGAAACCCCUCUAGUUGGUAAUUCCUGUCUAUAAGGACUACUUUGCAGAGUCCCCAAUGCUUUAAGUACAGUUUUGGUUGACCUUUAAUUGUAAAACCAACCUCUACUAGACAAAUGAUUUUCAAUUGCCUAAGACAUUUUUCACAGGAAAAACUGGAAUGCAGAUUUUUUUGAACGGGCGUGUGUGUGUGUGUGUGUGUGUGUGUGUGUGUGUGUGCAU
rnacentral:lncRNA from 1 species